GUACUCACUUGGCAGCACAUAUACUACAGUUGGGACAAGAUAGAGAUUAGCAUGGCCCCUGUGCAAGGAAAACACUCCAAAUUUUGAAGCAUUGUAUAUUUUU
ensembl:snRNA U6 U6 spliceosomal RNA